rnacentral:tRNA from 1 species
GAGUGUAUAGCUCAGUGGUAGAGUAUGUGCCUAGCAUACACAAGGUCCUGGGUUCAAUUCCCAGUACUUCCA